rnacentral:rRNA from 1 species
UACGAAGGGGGCUAGCGUUGCUCGGAAUUACUGGGCGUAAAGGGCGCGUAGGCGGACGUUUAAGUCGGGGGUGAAAGCCCGGGGCUCAACCUCGGAAUUGCCUUCGAUACUGGACGUCUUGAGUACGGGAGAGGUGAGUGGAACUCCGAGUGUAGAGGUGAAAUUCGUAGAUAUUCGCAAGAACACCAGUGGCGAAGGCGGCUCACUGGCCCGUAACUGACGCUGAGGCACGAAAGCGUGGGGAGCAAACAGG